UUGCCUUGUUGGCAACAUUGUGAGAUCAUGACCAAGCAUGACAAGAAUGGAGGCUCGUCAACCACCUACCAGCACACCUAUCAUGACCGAUGAUGAGACGCUGAAGGUUACGAGAGAUG